rnacentral:rRNA from 1 species
UACAGAGGGUGCAAGCGUUAAUCGGAAUUACUGGGCGUAAAGCGCACGUAGGCGGUUUUUUAAGUCAGAUGUGAAAGCCCCGGGCUCAACCUGGGAAUUGCAUUUGAAACUGGGGAACUAGAGUGUGUGAGAGGGGGGUAGAAUUCCAAGUGUAGCGGUGAAAUGCGUAGAGAUUUGGAGGAAUACCAGUGGCGAAGGCGGCCCCCUGGCACAACACUGAUGCUCAGGUGCGAAAGCGUGGGGAGCAAACAGG